CCUUAAACGAUGCCGACAGGAGUUUGUCAUUUGUUAAUGGCAGAAAUCUUUGGAGAAAAUCAUAGUUCUUGGGCUCUGGGGGGAACUACGACCGCAAGGCUGAAACUUGAAGGAAUUGACGGAAGGGCACACCAGGGGUGGAGCCUGUGGCUUAAUUUGAAUCAACACGGGGAAACUUACCAGGACCAGAUGUUUUUUAUGACUGACAGGCUUCGGGUCUUUCAGGAUAUUGUUUUUGGUGGUGCAUGGCCGUUGGUGGUGCGUGGGUUGACCUGUCUAGCGUUGAUUCAGCUAACGAGCGAGAUUAUCGCCAAUUAUUUACUUUGCCGAAGUCCUUCGGUUAAAGUUCUAAUUGGGACUCCCUGCGAUUUUAGCAGGUGGAAGAGGGUAGCAAUAACAGGUCCGUGAUGCCCUUUAGAUGCUCUGGGCUGCACGCGUGCUACAAUGUUAGGAUCAAUAGGACUGCGAGCCUGAGAGGGUGCGCUACUCUUAUAAUCCCUAACGUAGUUGGGAUUGACGUUUGUAAUCAGCGUCAUGAACCAGGAAUCCCUUGUAAAUGUGUGUCAACAACGCACGUUGAAUACGUCCCUGCCCUUUGUACACACCGCCCGUCGCUCCUACCGAUUGGAUGACUCGGUGAAAUCACCGGAUGCUUACGAGCAGAAAGUGAUUAAAUCACGUUAUCUAGAGGAAGGAGAAGUCGUAACAAGGUAACGGUAGGUGAACCUGCCGUUGGAUC
rnacentral:rRNA from 1 species